ACAUAUGAUAGCAUAGCUUAGUAAAAAAAAGUUAUAUAAAAAAUAAUCUCAAAAAAUUAAAAUAAAAUUUUUUUUAAAUUUUUUUAAGUAAUUAAUUUUUUUUUUUACGUACACGUACACGUACACGUUACACGCUUUUAGUAACCUACAAUAAAACUUCAAACAAAAAAUUAAGCAAUAACAGAAAAAACUAAUAAAUAAGCGUGCAAUCUUUUUCAAUAAAGCGGAAAGCUGAAAUAAUUAUGCAACACCAAAACAGUUCAUGCAAAUUCGCAUUGUCUAAUUUUGUAUCGGAACAUCUUAUUUUGACUACACGCACACACACACAUGCAUACAUAGUCACAUGCGAAGUCUCCAAGUGUUAAAUAAGAAGACUGAAGCAUAAGAAACAAAAAUGGUGUGUAAAAGUGCAAGAAAUUACAAAUAAAUCAGCUGAAAAAAGUUAAUAGAUUAUAAGACGCAGCACGUAUUGGCCCAAACGCACGUGACGUACAUUAUUUAUUGACAACCGUAGUAGGCAAACGACUAAGCAACCGACUAAGCAAGCCCGUGGCGCUUGGCUUGAUCUAAAUAUUUUCGAAAUAAUUCACUACCAGUACGAAAUAUACCCAACACAACGAACUGCUAAGAUUUCGUGUGAUAAAAUUUCAUAAUUAAUUUUUAUUUGUUGUAGCAUAAAAUAAUACAUAUAUUUCAAAAAAAAAUUUAAAUAUAUUUCAAGUACUGAAAUUAUUUAUGCGUAUAACACAUCAGAGCGAACAAAUAAAGCACAAUAUUUCAACUAAGUAAGCGAUUCCGGCAGAAUUCACGGCAGAUAGGCUACCAAAGGCGCCUGUGCAGCAUCAAUCUUAAAUAUUUCGAUUACUGAUAUUUGUAGGGCAAUUGUACGUGGCUGGAUCGAAAGUACUAGCAGAAGAACCUCUGAUAGAGUCAUGGAAACCACUACGGGCAUAAAGGCCGCAAAUAGAAAGCGUAACACACCGCCUAGGAAACUGAAGUCGUACCGACGCUUCGUAGACAAAAUUUUGGAGCGCUAGACAGACCGAGUAGGUAUCUGUGCAGCACGCUGGUACGUUAACGUGAGCCUGAUAUUUUAUGAAGAUUUUUAUUCUGAUUUCGAUCGCUACAUGCUAUAGUACAUAUACUUAGCAAAUUUAUACAUACAUAAAUACGUAUAAAAAUUUAUCAAAAAUAUUUGUUGGGUAUAGCGUCUAAACAAAUGUAAGUUUUUAUAUAUUAACAUAAAUAAAUAUAUUUUUAUGGCAUUUAUUUUGAAAAAAUUAUGUUUUAACUGCUUGUGACAAUAGUAGCAACCCAAAAAAUAAGCAAAUAAAUAGUAGUAGCAAAAAUAUUUCAAUGUCAAUGAACUGAGGCGAUGUAGGUAUAAAGCGAAUAAAAAAACAUAUAAAAUUAGUCAAUGAAAAACUACUAGCAGCGGGUGAAUUUUCAAGACUUAUUUAACAACAACAAAUAUUUGUUUAAUAUUUGCACUCGUCUAGCUAAUUAUGUUAUAAACGAACCCAACUAUUUACAAUUACGCUUAAAAUGAUCUGUUUGUCAACAGUUACAUUUUAUAGCACGAGUAAUACGGCGAAAACCGUUAAAUGCAUCACUACUACGCGCUAAACUACUCGUAUAUACAAGUGUGUGUGCAUGUGUGUAUUUGAAACUAUCGCAGUUUUAUAGCAACAUGGCACCUAAUCAGCUUAUUAUUUUCGCUAUAAAAUCAUAAGUAACUGCACAUAUACUAGUUUGUUAUCACUCAGUAAAGUCACAAGGUACUGUGCACACGUACAUACAUAUGUAUAUGCUAAGUUCUAAAUAUAUUAUGCAUUUUUUAUAUUGUAUGUAUGUAUAUAUUCAUAUGUGUUUAUGUAUUAGCACGGUAUAUUGAAAACAUUGUGCAACAAGGUAAAUAUUUAUUAAAUUAAUGGCAGCACUCGACCAUGCUAAACAGCCCAUAUGCUACUACUUACUUUUUUUCGCUUACAAUUUCUGAUCUAACAAAUUAGUUUUAUUUAAUUUGUUUUGUAAUUAUUCCAUUAACUUUGGCAUAAUUAUAUUUUUAGCGGAAAUUAAAAAAAAGCGCUUAGUUACAAAUCGUGUUUAUUUAAGGCUUUUAAUUUACAAAUAUGAAUCAUAAAAUUAAUUAGUGCAUUUGAAAUAAAAACAAGCGUGUCUUUUUUUUUAUUUGUGUGAAAAAGAGGUUUGGUAUUCGCAACCUAUAUUCAGAUAAAUUUCGAUGAAAGUCCUUAAGUACUGUUAAAGUGUGAAAGAUACCUAACCUGUAUUCUCAAACUAAAAUCUGAUAAAUGUGGAUUAAAGUUCUUGGAAGCGUGUGAAAGAGAGGACGAGAGGUUUAGAUACAUUUAAAAACAAAUUAUUCAAAGGUAAUAGAUGAGCGUAGAAAAACAAUGAAAUUGCUGACAAAUUAUGUCCUUGGCACUAUAUCAACCUGAAAUCUAUAGAUGCAUAACGUAAUUAUAUAAUGCGAGGCCACGUGCAGAGAAUUAAAAAAACUUUGAAAUCUGUUUAAAAAUCUUUCUUAGACUCUUAAAAUCAUUCCACAGUAACUGAACUAUGUGUAUUAAGUAAACCCAUCCGCUUAAAUACCGAACCACCUUAAAUAACCAACAUUUUAGGGUUUAGUGCGCGCAUCGAAGGACUUCAGCGGGAUCUUUUAAGCACUCAACCCGCCAAAGUACAUUUAAUGGAAAUGCAUAAUAACAAAAGAGUAAUGGCUAUUCUUAAAAAGUAUUAAAUUUUUUUUUUUUUAAUUUAAGAAACUCUCAAAGCAAUUUUUUUUUGCCAACCAUGUAAAUUUAAGAAGUAAAAACAAGAGCUUUACUAACAGAUUAAAAGAAAUUUAUGUACGUUUAACUGUUUACUCAUAAACUGUCUCCUACAUAUGCCCAUACAUAUGCAAACAUUUAGCGGUAAUUUGAAUUUGCUAACUAUUUUUUGUGCCACUUUAUAAUUUAUCACAUGCACAUUAAUUUAGAGUGUCAAGGAAAAUCAAUAUUUUGUUUUAAUUACAACGAAUUAGCUGGAAAAAAAAUUCCCCCAAAAAUGCGCACUUGCAUACAAAGUUUAAUGGAUUUAAGUGUUUGGAGAAUCAAUAAGUUUAAGUAUAACCGGUUCAUACCUGCGAAUUUCCAAAAAUUAAUAUAAUAGACAAGUCUGCUGAACUAAGCUGGCAAGAUAAUCAUCAGAGCAGACAGGGUAUUGCACAUGUGAGUGUCAUUGCACAGAUGUAUACAUACAUAUAUGUAUGUAUAUAUAUUUAGGCAUGUACAAACUGAUAUAUAUGGUAUUUUUGUGUGCGCAUGCGCAGGUGCCUUGGUAAAAAACUGACUGGCAUACACAAUACUGUACUAGUAUUAAAUAAAAUAUCAACUAAUUUAAUAUAUUUGGUUAUUUUAAACAAAACCUUGAGACAAAAAAAAAGUACCAAGAAAGUAUUAAAAGUGCAUCUACCUGUACAUUAAAGUGGCCAUUAACGCAGAUGUGUUAAAUAUUUUAGAUCCUACUACCUGUACAUUUUAGAUCCUCAAGCGGUUUUCGGGGGAAUAUUGCUGAAGAAAUGAAACUGUCUGGUUUGAAAACGUCUGGUCAUCCGUGGUUUUAUUUAAAAAAAAAAAUUACUUAAGCAAACCUAGAAUAUUUCUCUCAUAUAAGUUUCUGAAUAAUUAGUUAUGAAUAUAAAGUACGGGAUAUACAUAUAUAAAUAUACUGCGCUUAUGCCACAAAUAUUAAGUAAAACUCACAGUUUAUUAAAACCCGCAAUUAAAAGUCAUGAUGAGUGUAUAUUAUUCUUUCAACGCUUGUAUGAAGAACGAUGCUUUCAGGAAAACCAAGCAACUGCAUUUUCAGUAUCGCUUUAUACCUUAAGCAGGGUAUAGUAAGUUUGACACGAAGUUCGUAACACCCAGAAGGAAACGUAGGGUCUGCGAAGUAUAUAUAAACUAUCACCGUAACGGAAAGCUGCCAUACAAGCUGACCGAUUAAAAUCAAGUCUUUGUAUGGAAAACUAUUUUAUUCGACCAAUUAUUCUCACGAAAUUUGACAUAGAUUAUUAUCGAAGGUAGCGCUACAAUCACCGAAGAUUUUGUUUAGAUUGAAACAAUAUAUGUUAGCAUAUAGCUGUCAUAUAAAUUGAUACAUCAAAAUCAAGAUAAAGAUUCUGUUAUGCAAGCUUAUGCUAUAAAAAAUGCACCUUUGAAGAGUAUGAUAGCCUCGGUGCAGCCAUGGUGAAAGUUCUUUCUUGUUUCUUUUCGAUCAUAGAGUUAUGCCUCUUACCAUAUAUUGUAAUUAAUACGAUAUUUUAUUAGCUUAGUUCUCUGGUACAGUGACUUCAGAGCAGAGAGUUAGAUAGAUUAUACAUUUUUUUAGUAUUUAAGUCACUAUAGUGCUGGCUAAAUAAAUCAGGUCAAUUGAGUUUUUGUUAAUAAAGAUUUGGUAAAAAUGUCUCGAUGACUAACUGACGUUGUAUAUUUUGAUUCUUGAAAUCAUGCUAAAUGCUUUGCGGCAUUCGGUUUAUACUAGCGAACUACUGAGAUGGGAGUAUGUUGGGGUCGAACUUCACCGUCAUGGAAUUACAGUAUCGCAAGUGCUCUAUUAAGACAUCAUAUCAUGAGUGUGGGGGAUUUCAGCUAGUAUGGAUGCUGUUUUUGGUAUAGUUUUAGUUAGAUCACUGUAGAGCUGCUUUAGAAGAUUAAACACGGUUCUUAAAAUGUUGAUAAUGUACUCAGCGUAGUAAAAUUAGACUUGAAACUGACUCAAAAUACCUGUUAUAGCGAGCAGCUGUGCUGAAAUAUUUCACCACGGUCUACUACUGACUUCAGUAAUAAAUUUCCUCAAACAUCACGGUGAAGACGCAGCCUAACCGGGUUCGCUAGCAUCUAAGCUCAUGCAUAGAUAUACAUAUAUAUUUAUUAUCAUUGUGUAUGUGUGCUUAUCAACAAGAUUGCAUUGAAGAGAUGUGAGCAGCGCGACUUGCCAAGCUUUAUUGACAAGCGUUAUUCGCUUUGUUGUGUUUAAUUUAGCUUAGCUCGCUUGUGUGCUGUUUUAUUCAGCACUUUUUUUUAUUGCUAUUUACUGUUUACCGCUACUAUCGGUUAAAUCUGCUACACUUUUACGCAUGCAUCCGCAGUUGAUCGUCUCCGAGAGCUGGCAGUAAUUAACACGCGGGUGUUUUUGGUGUUUUAACAUGGUUUUCGCAUCUAAUUACUUAAUUUGAAUGGCACUGCCACUCAAAAAUUCCAUAACAACUGCCGACAAUACGAAUAGCAUUGCCAACAUGCACAACAACAAUACGGUGCCUUUUGGUGACAAAGCUAUAAAAAUUAUAAAAUUAUAAAAAUUAAAAAAACAAACACAAAAAGACAAUAACAACUUAAAAAAUGUGGCAUCAUUUAUUUUAUCUUCGUUUUUCUUUUGUUUAAUUUUAAAGUCACAAAUCAAAAAAACUAGUUGGCAUUUUAUCUUUAUUAUUAUUAUAAUUUGGGUUUUUUGUUGUUAUUUUAUUGUUUUUUUGGUUUUGUUUUUGUUUGUUCAACAACAUAUGAUUGUUGAUUUCUGUGUUUUAGUUUGGCAAUUUCUAUUUCGUUUUUAAGUGAUACUUGAAAAGCAUUCAAUACCACACACCUGUAAAUGUACAUACAUAUGUACGAGUAUAUUUACCCGUGUAUACCAACAUACAUACAUACGAGUAAAUAUGCAUAGCAUUUAACUGCACGCUGGCACUGGCAAAGCAGACAGCAAUCAGGAAAUUUCUAGUAACCAAUUAUGGCACACUCUAAAACACCGUUUUCGGCGUAUUUUAAUUUUGAAUAUCAUCGCCCGUCAUCGUAUCGAAUUGACCAAACGUGCGCUUACAUAAAUACGAGUACUGGGAGUAGUAGCAAAGCAAAAAACACAACAAACAAGACACUAGAAUAUUCGCUAAUAUUAUGCAGAGAAAUUCGUUGUUAUUAACUGCAAAAAGUCGAACGAGUUUAAAAAUGUCCUAACACUGCUCGAACUACUUUCCAUGGAACUAGUAUUGGUUGUAGGCGAGUUUAGAAUUUUUGGAAAUAUGCGAGCGCAUCAUAAAGACUUUUAAGACGCGUAAAAACAUAAAAAAAGGCUCAUUAAAACUCAUUUUCAAUGACAGAAUUUACUGUUGGUAACAAAAUAUAAUUGAAAUAAUGGAUUUGACACGACAUUAUUUUCGGUGACGUCACAUUAGCGACAUUCUUAAAGACAGUAUUAUGCUAAUUGCGAACACCAAAACUCUCAGUAACGUCACCUUAGCGACGCACUGAGAGACAGCCAUUAAAAGGCUGUAUACUAGUAAAUGAAAACCCGAUCAAUAAUUUUU